GGGUUGUGAGGUUAAGCGACUAAGCGUACACGGUGGAUGCCCUGGCAGUCAGAGGCGAUGAAGGACGUGCUAAUCUGCGAAAAGCGUCGGUAAGGUGAUAUGAACCGUUACAGCCGGCGAUGUCCGAAUGGGGAAACCCAGUGCAAUUCGUUGCACUAUCGUUAACUGAAUACAUAGGUUAACGAGGCGAACCGGGGGAACUGAAACAUCUAAGUACCCCGAGGAAAAGAAAUCAACCGAGAUUCCCCCAGUAGCGGCGAGCGAACGGGGAGCAGCCCAGAGUCUGAAUCAGCUUGUGUGUUAGUGGAACGGUCUGGAAAGUCCGACGGUACAGGGUGAUAGUCCCGUACACCAAAAUGCACAGGCUGUGAACUCGAAGAGUAGGGCGGGACACGUGGUAUCCUGUCUGAAUAUGGGGGGACCAUCCUCCAAGGCUAAAUACUCCUGACUGACCGAUAGUGAACCAGUACCGUGAGGGAAAGGCGAAAAGAACCCCGGCGAGGGGAGUGAAAAAGAACCUGAAACCGUGUACGUACAAGCAGUGGGAGCACCUUCGGGUGUGACUGCGUACCUUUUGUAUAAUGGGUCAGCGACUUAUAUUCUGUAGCAAGGUUAACCGUAUAGGGGAGCCGCAGGGAAACCGAGUCUUAACUGGGCGUUAAGUUGCAGGGUAUAGACCCGAAACCCGGUGAUCUAGCCAUGGGCAGGUUGAAGGUUGGGUAACACUAACUGGAGGACCGAACCGACUAAUGUUGAAAAAUUAGCGGAUGACUUGUGGCUGGGGGUGAAAGGCCAAUCAAACCGGGAGAUAGCUGGUUCUCCCCGAAAGCUAUUUAGGUAGCGCCUCGUGAACUCAUCUUCGGGGGUAGAGCACUGUUUCGGCUAGGGGGUCAUCCCGACUUACCAACCCGAUGCAAACUACGAAUACCGAAGAAUGUUAUCACGGGAGACACACGGCGGGUGCUAACGUCCGUCGUGAAGAGGGAAACAACCCAGACCGCCAGCUAAGGUCCCAAAGUCACAGUUAAGUGGGAAACGAUGUGGGAAGGCACAGACAGCCAGGAUGUUGGCUUAGAAGCAGCCAUCAUUUAAAGAAAGCGUAAUAGCUCACUGGUCGAGUCGGCCUGCGCGGAAGAUGUAACGGGGCUAAACUGUGCACCGAAGCUGCGGCAGCGACACGAUGUGUUGUUGGGUAGGGGAGCGUUCUGUAAGCCUGCGAAGGUGGCCUGUGAGGGUUGCUGGAGGUAUCAGAAGUGCGAAUGCUGACAUAAGUAACGAUAAUGCGGGUGAAAAGCCCGCACGCCGGAAGACCAAGGGUUCCUGUCCAACGUUAAUCGGGGCAGGGUGAGUCGACCCCUAAGGCGAGGCCGAAAGGCGUAGUCGAUGGGAAACAGGUUAAUAUUCCUGUACUUGGUGUUACUGCGAAGGGGGGACGGAGAAGGCUAUGUUAGCCGGGCGACGGUUGUCCCGGUUUAAGCAUGUAGGCGGAGGUUCCAGGUAAAUCCGGUACCUUUUUAACGCUGAGGUGUGAUGACGAGGCACUACGGUGCUGAAGUAACAAAUGCCCUGCUUCCAGGAAAAGCCUCUAAGCAUCAGGUAACAUUAAAUCGUACCCCAAACCGACACAGGUGGUCAGGUAGAGAAUACCAAGGCGCUUGAGAGAACUCGGGUGAAGGAACUAGGCAAAAUGGUGCCGUAACUUCGGGAGAAGGCACGCUGAUAUGUAGGUGAAGCCCCUGCGGGUGGAGCUGAAAUCAGUCGAAGAUACCAGCUGGCUGCAACUGUUUAUUAAAAACACAGCACUGUGCAAACACGAAAGUGGACGUAUACGGUGUGACGCCUGCCCGGUGCCGGAAGGUUAAUUGAUGGGGUUAUCCGUAAGGAGAAGCUCUUGAUCGAAGCCCCGGUAAACGGCGGCCGUAACUAUAACGGUCCUAAGGUAGCGAAAUUCCUUGUCGGGUAAGUUCCGACCUGCACGAAUGGCGUAAUGAUGGCCAGGCUGUCUCCACCCGAGACUCAGUGAAAUUGAACUCGCUGUGAAGAUGCAGUGUACCCGCGGCAAGACGGAAAGACCCCGUGAACCUUUACUAUAGCUUGACACUGAACAUUGAGCCUUGAUGUGUAGGAUAGGUGGGAGGCUUUGAAGCGUGGACGCCAGUCUGCGUGGAGCCAACCUUGAAAUACCACCCUUUAAUGUUUGAUGUUCUAACGUUGGCCCCUUAUCGGGGUUGCGGACAGUGUCUGGUGGGUAGUUUGACUGGGGCGGUCUCCUCCCAAAGAGUAACGGAGGAGCACGAAGGUUAGCUAAUCCUGGUCGGACAUCAGGAGGUUAGUGCAAUGGCAUAAGCUAGCUUGACUGCGAGCGUGACGGCGCGAGCAGGUGCGAAAGCAGGUCAUAGUGAUCCGGUGGUUCUGAAUGGAAGGGCCAUCGCUCAACGGAUAAAAGGUACUCCGGGGAUAACAGGCUGAUACCGCCCAAGAGUUCAUAUCGACGGCGGUGUUUGGCACCUCGAUGUCGGCUCAUCACAUCCUGGGGCUGAAGUAGGUCCCAAGGGUAUGGCUGUUCGCCAUUUAAAGUGGUACGCGAGCUGGGUUUAGAACGUCGUGAGACAGUUCGGUCCCUAUCUGCCGUGGGCGCUGGAGAAUUGAGGGGGGCUGCUCCUAGUACGAGAGGACCGGAGUGGACGCAUCACUGGUGUUCGGGUUGUCAUGCCAAUGGCAUUGCCCGGUAGCUAAAUGCGGAAGAGAUAAGUGCUGAAAGCAUCUAAGCACGAAACUUGCCCCGAGAUGAGUUCUCCCUGAGACUUUAAGUCUCCUGAAGGAACGUUAAAGACGAUGACGUUGAUAGGUCGGGUGUGUAAGCGUAGCGAUACGUUGAGCUAACCGAUACUAAUGAACCGUGAGGCUUAACCUUACAACGCCGAAGGUGUUU
rnacentral:rRNA from 1 species